GACGUAGGGCGCGAGCGUUGUCCGGAAUCAUUGGGCGUAAAGAGCGUGUAGGCGGCCAACUAAGUCCUGCGUGAAAUCUCGGGGCUCAACCCCGAGCGGUCGUGGGAAACUGGUUGGCUAGGGUGCGGGAGAGGAGAGUGGAAUUCCUGGUGUAGCGGUGAAAUGCGCAGAUAUCGGGAGGAACACCAGUGGCGAAGGCGGCUGUCUGGGCCAGUUCUGACGCUGAGGCGCGAAAGCGUGGGGAGCAAACAGG
rnacentral:rRNA from 1 species